GGCCCGUUCGUCUAGGGGUUAGGACAGCAGAUUUUCAUUCUGUAAACAGGGGUUCGAUUCCCCUACGGGCUACCA
rnacentral:tRNA from 1 species